rnacentral:RNase_P_RNA from 1 species
GGCCAGACAGUCGCGUCACUCGCAAGAGUGCCGAGGAAAGUCCGGGCUCCAUAGGGCAAGGUGCCAGGUAACGCCUGGGCGGCGCAAGCCGACGGACAGUGCAACAGAAAGAUACCGCCUACGUUCCUUUCGGGGAGCCGGUAAGGGUGAAAUGGUGCGGUAAGAGCGCACCGCGAGUCCGGUAACGGACCGGCACGGCAAACCCCACCUGGAGCAAGACCAAAUAGGGA